UUAUUUUUUGUAUAAAUACUCUGUGCUAUUGCAGAUAAGAUCAUCAUUUGUCGCAAUGAAAUUCUACGCUUUAUUUGCAUUUGUUUUGGCCUUGUUGGCUAUGGCCAUGGCUAAUCCCAAUCCAAAUCCUCAUCCUGAACCCAGACCAUUGCCAGGUGGUGGUGGUGGCGGAGGCGGCGGCGGUGGUGGCAAGUGAA